GGAUAACAGUAACAACCUACCUAGCCUAGAGGGAUAGAGCAUCCUGCAGCAGUGGGGGAAACCACAUUUAGAGCAAGAAAUCCACAGGACAAAGCUGUGCCGCACAGAUACCAAAGUACUACACACCUCUAGCAUAUCACUCUGUGUAUGGGCAAACCUGUGUCUCUUAGAGAGUCCACAGCCACAAUGUUCUCCCGUAAAUACGUGUCCCCUCGUUUCAUCUUUGGAAGAAUCAGAAGAAAGGAUCGAAAUUGACCCAGCAAAGCCAAGAAUAAAGUCCUGCUGAGGUGAUUGUAUGAUGGGUCAAGUCCAGUCUCCGCUGAUGGGGAAGACAGACUGCUCCUGCAAAUUGGAAAUGUGAAUAUUUCAAACUACAUUAACAAACUGAAAACUGUGAAACGAAUUUGUCUACCUUAUUAACUUCUAUAACUGGCAAUUGAGAGUAAACGUAGGUAGUUGCUAUGAGAUACAUGGUUCUGUAAACUCUGACCUCACUGCAUCUAAAACAUUAGCAAUAACAUCACACUGCUGUAUCUGAUUUUCCUAUAGAGCGGGAUGCUUCAAAAUGAAAGUCACA